UACGGGGGGAGCAAGCGUUGUUCGGAUUUACCGGUGCGUAAAGGGCGCGUAGGCGGUCAGCACAAGUCAGUUGUGAAAUCUCCGGGCUUAACUCGGAAAGGUCAACUGAUACUGUGCGACUAGAGUGCAGAAGGGGCAACUGGAAUUCUCGGUGUAGCGGUGAAAUGCGUAGAUAUCGAGAGGAACACCUGCGGCGAAGGCGGGUUGCUGGGCUGACACUGACGCUGAUGCGCGAAAGCCAGGGGAGCGAACGGG
rnacentral:rRNA from 1 species